AUGGUGGGAGUUGGAGUCAAAACACCCGGAGGGCCCAACUUUGCCCAUGCCUGGUGUAGAUGCACCCCCGCCCCGCCCCCCCCCCCACAUACAGGGAGGGGAGGAAAGAGGGGAUCCGGGCGCCUGGGCAGGGACAGCCUGGCACCAGCGCGGGAGGCAGGCAGGGAAAGAGAGAGAGAGAGGGAGAGAGCGAGGGAGGGUCAGCCGCCGCCAUCUGGCCGGAGGAAGGGGCGGGAAGGCAGCGCGGGAGGAAAGGCGGGCGUCCGAGACGGGGCUGGGGAAGGAAAGGCUGGGAGAGCAGCAGGCCUGGGGCAAGCACGGCUGCGGAGAACAGGGCUGGGAAAAGUCAGGCGAGAGGAAGCAGGACCGGGAAGGGAAAGACUGGGGAAAGCGAGGCUUGGAGAAGCAGGGCUGGGAAAUGCCGCCCGCCAUCUGCCUCCAAUGUGGCCGCUGUCCCUCUUCUUCCUGGACACGCACACUCACUCACACACCCCCAGUGGCUUCUACCUGGAGCGACUCGUUGGCCAUCGCUGCCGCUGCUGCUGCUGCUUCCCGCCUCCUCUACAGCCCCGGCCGAGUGGCCCCGCUCUUGCUCUUCCUCCUCCUCCGCCGCCGCCUCCUCUUCAUCCCCCGGGCAAAGCGGAGCCGUCCAGCCCCUCUGGGGCCAAGCGAGGAGCGAGGACUGGGGAAGGCUUGUCUGCGCGCCGCUCUGCUCUCCCCGGAGAGGGUCCUGUCCCGCCUUAUUGUUAUUGCGGGGUCGGCCCCGCUCGUCUGGCUGACUCUCUCUUUCUCUCUCUCUCUCUCUCCCCGCGCCCCUCCCUCCCUCCCAACUUGCCGGGCUGGUCACGUGAGCAGAGGGGGAGAGGGAAUAAGAGAGAGAGAGAGAGAGAGAGGGAAGUGGAGAGGAGGAGGCGCAUCCCCGGAGCCCAGAGAAGGGAGGGGAGGAGGAGGAGGAGGAGGAGGAGGAUGCUGACCGGGGCAGUGCUUGCUUGCUUGCCCGCUUGCAGCAGAUGCGGCAGCCAUGCCUUCUCUCUUUCUCUCCCUCCCCCUCCUCUCCCUCGGCCUCCCUUCCUUUCUUUCAGCGGAUUAACAGAUUAG
rnacentral:lncRNA from 1 species